CUCUGGUCAGUAAAGUUUAAGUUAAAUCAUGUAUAAGCCAGCAUGACUUACUCCCAUACCUCAGUGAGAAGAUUUUUGUCAUUUCCCCUCUUGAUCUCAAGUCUUCUAAUGCACAAAAAUACUUGUCCCUUGAUGCCAGGGUGGUUGCAGUCUGUCCUGGGUCCAUCAUGUCCCUUGGUGCUAGGCCUCCUUUUUGUUAAUAUAGAAAUAUUUGCCUAGGUAUCCACACUGGGGGAGAAUUUAUCAGGUUAUCUGUAGAGAGGCUCAGAGAUAUGUUACUUGGGAAGCAUUUUAUAGAUUACACAUUUAUCAGUUGUAUCAAAUUAUAACACAGAUAUUGUAUAUGUGCUUUUAGCCCUAGACUUAAAGCAAGCAGAGAUACCUGUCAUGAGUAGUUAUACUCUGUGACAACUUCACUAGAUAAUUUUCUUUUCCUCCUGAACAUCCAGGGCAAAUGUAUGGCUAACACAAUAACUUUCGAUUUUGAUAGGGCCUUAACAUGGGGUGUUGGAUCUUCAUCUAAAAACAGAUUGUCGUGGAGCUGAAAUGAAGAGGGUUAAGCUUGGGCCUUCCUUCUCCUGAGAUGGGGCAUUCCUUCUUCUGAUGUCCUUCCCCUUUGCACGUGGGAUCUUUUUCAGUUGCGGCAUGCAGACUCUUAACUACAGCAAGUGGGAUCUACUUUUGUGACCAGGGAUCAAACCCAGGCCCCUUGCAUUGGGAAUGUGUAGUCUCAGCCACCUACCAGGGAAGUCCCAAUAUUAAAACAAAACAACAUUUACCUGUGGUGAUAGGCUGAUGUGCAAUUUUUCUAGUAACAAGAGAGAGACAGAGAAAGAGGAAGGGAAAGAGAGGCAUACUAUACAGUCCUGUAAUUCUUUGGAAGCAAAAUUAUCAAAUAGUAAGAAGGGACUUCCCUGGUGGUCCAAUGGCUAGGACUCCAUGCUACCAAUGUAGGGAAUCUGGGUUUGAGCCCUGGUCAGGGAGCUAGAUCCCACCUGCUGCUACUAAAGACCCCGCACGCCUCAGUUAAAUAUCAUUCACCUCAUGUUUAUGUAAGGAUAGGCUGUUCUCUUCCAGUCUUGCACAGGAUGUUCUACAUAUAUAUUUUUGGAUACUUAUUGAAAAAAAAUCCACAUGUAAGUGGACCCAUGCAGUUCAAGCCCAUGUUGUUCAAGGGUCAACUGUAUAGAACACAGACUAUAAUUUACCAACAUGACUUAAUCCUGCUUUGAUGACUCAGAAGACCCUCUGGGAUCACACAUUUCUUCAGGCUUGUUAUUAUGUGUAUUUCCUCUGGAGAUGUUUAAUAUGGGCCAAGUAACCGAAAGCAGUUCAGUAAUGACUGGAAGACAGAACUUGAUAUCUACUGACUCAUUCCAGUUCUAAGUCUGUGUGUAUGUGUCUCAAAGUCAAAUACAGAGGAGAUCACAUUUAUUACUGCCUAAAAGAAGCAUCACAUCACAAUGCAACUGUUUAUGAAAACAGAAGGUUACAAAUAAGGAGUGUUAACUAGCUUCUGUUCAUCAACCUUAACCAGGACAAGGAAAUGUUUAAAAAGUAGGACAUCAUUAGUACCAUUAAUAUAUUAUUACCAUUAUUUUAUUAAAGCCUAAUCAUCAGAUUAUAAU
ensembl:lncRNA